AGCCGGGUCGUCUAAUGGUAGGACAGCAGACUCUGGAUCUGUACGUGAGGGUUCGACUCCUUCCCCGGCUGCCA
rnacentral:tRNA from 1 species